rnacentral:rRNA from 1 species
UACAGAGGUCUCAAGCGUUGUUCGGAUUCAUUGGGCGUAAAGGGUGCGUAGGCGGCGCGGUAAGUCGGGUGUGAAAUUUCGAGGCUUAACUUCGAAACUGCAUUCGAUACUGCCGUGCUAGAGGACUGGAGAGGAGACUGGAAUUUACGGUGUAGCGGUGAAAUGCGUAGAUAUCGUAAGGAAGACCAGUGGCGAAGGCGGGUCUCUGGACAGUUCCUGACGUGAGGCACGAAGGCCAGGGGGAGCAAACGGGG